GUGCAGCAGGCGAGAAUUUUUCUCAAUGGGCGAAAGCCUGAAGGAGCGACGCCGCGUGGAGGAUGAAGGCUUUCGGGUUGUAAACUCCUGUCAUUUGAGAACAAGUGUAGCCAAGUAACUACUGGCUACUUGAUAGUAUCAGAAGAGGAAGAGACGGCUAACUCUGUGCCAGCAGCCGCGGUAAUACAGAGGUCUCAAGCGUUGUUCGGAUUCAUUGGGCGUAAAGGGUGCGUAGGUGGCGGGGUAAGUCAGAUGUGAAAUUUCGAAGCUCAACUUCGAAACUGCAUUUGAUACUGCCUUGCUUGAGGACUGGGAGAGGAGACUGGAAUUCACGGUGUAGCAGUGAAAUGUGUAGAGAUCGUGAGGAAGACCAGUGGCGAAGGCGGGUCUCUGGACAGUUCCUGACACUGAGGCACGAAGGCC
rnacentral:rRNA from 1 species